rnacentral:misc_RNA from 1 species
UUUCCGUAGGUGAACCUGCGGAAGGAUCAUUACCGAGUGAGGGCCCUCUGGGUCCAACCUCCCACCCGUGUUUAUUUACCUUGUUGCUUCGGCGGGCCCGCCUUAACUGGCCGCCGGGGGGCUCACGCCCCCGGGCCCGCGCCCGCCGAAGACACCCUCGAACUCUGUCUGAAGAUUGUAGUCUGAGUGAAAAUAUAAAUUAUUUAAAACUUUCAACAACGGAUCUCUUGGUUCCG